CGUACCGUAAACCGACACAGGUGGGCAGUUAGAGAAUACUAAGGCGCUUGGGAUAACUCCAGUUAAGGAACUUCGGCAAAAUAAUACCGUAACUUCGGGAGAAGGUAUGCCUUCCAUGGUGAUCUAGUAAUAGUGANCUGAGGGAGGUCGCAGAGAAAUAGGGGUAGCGACUGUUUACUAAAAACACAGGGCUAUGCAAACUCGUUAAGAGGAAGUAUAUGGCCUGACGCCUGCCCGGUGCCGGAAGGUUAAGGGGAGAGGUCAUUGGGAUUCGUCCUGAGAAGCUUUAAACUGAAGCCCCGGUAAACGGCGCCGUAACUAUAACGGUCCUAAGGUAGCGAAUUCCUGUCGGGUAAGUUCCGACUGCACGAAUGGGUACGAUUUCCCCACUGUCUCACAGGAGUCCAGUGAAAUUGUAAUACGGUGAAGAUCCGUUUACCCGCAGUAGCGGAAGACCGGCACCUUACUAUAGCUGACAUUGAGUUUAGGGCUAUUAUGUGUAGGAUAGGUGGGAGACGAUGAAUCCGGGACGCCAGUUUCGGUGGAGCCAACCUUGAAAUACCACCCUUAAUAUCUUUGAAUUCUAAUCCGAGCCAGUUGACCCUGGCUGGAGACAGUGUCUGGUGGGUAGUUUGACUGGGGCGGUCGCCUCCAAAAAAGUAACGGAGGCGCGCGAAGGUUCUCUCAGGCUGAUUGGAAACCAGCCGUAGAGUGUAAAGGCACAAGGGAGCUUGACUGCGAGAGAGACAUCUCGAGCAGGUACGAAAGUAGGUCUUAGUGAUCUGGCGGUAGCGAGUGGAAGCGCCGUCACUUAACGGAUAAAAGGUACUCCGGGGAUAACAGGCUGAUCUUCCCCAAGAGUUCACAUCGACGGGAAGGUUUGGCACCUCGAUGUCGGCUCAUCGCAUCCUGGGGCUGAAGCAGGUCCCAAGGGUUUGGCUGUUCGCCAAUUAAAGCGGUACGUGAGCUGGGUUCAGAACGUCGCGAGACAGUUCGGUCCCUAUCUGCCAUGGGCGUUGGAAAGUUGAGAGGAUCUGUUUUUAGUACGAGAGGACCGAAAUGGACGAACCUCUGGUGUAUCUGUUGUCCUGCCAAGGGCAAGUGCAGAGUAGCUAAGUUCGGAAGGGAUAACCGCUGAAGGCAUCUAAGUGGGAAGCCCACCUCAAGAUAAACUUUCCCUGGGGUUUUAAACCCCCUAAAGGCACCAGCGAGACUAGCUGGUUGAUAGGUUGGAGGUCUAAGUAUAGUAAUGUAUUCAGCCGACCAAUACUAAUAUGCCGUGAGGCUUGACCAU
rnacentral:rRNA from 1 species